UUAGGGACGAAUGUUCUAGAUCAGUAAUAUGGGUUUAGAAUGACGGUACCUAAGAGGAAGCCCCGGGCUAACUACGUGCCAGCAGCCGCGGUAAGACGUAGGGGGCGAGCGUGUCCGGGAAUUACUGGGCGUAAAGAGCACGUAGGCGGGAAUUUAAGUCAGAUGUGAAAGACCGGGGCUCAACUCCGGGGUUGCAUUUGAAACUGAAUUUCUUGAGGGCAGGAGAGGAAAGCAGAAUUCUGGUGUAGCGGUGAAAUGCGUAGAAAUCAGGAGGAAUACCAGUGGCGAAGGCGGCUUUCUGGACUGUCCCUGACGCUGAGGUGCGAAAGCGUGGGUAGCAAACAGGAUUAGAUACCCUGGUAGUCCACGCCGUAAACGAUGGAUACUAGGUGUGGGAGGUAUCGACCCCUUCCGUGCCGCAGCUAACGCAAUAAGUAUCCCGCCUGGGGAGUACGAUCGCAAGGUUGAAACUCAAAGGAAUUGACGGGGGCCCGCACAAGCGGUGGAGCAUGUGGUUUAAUUCGAUGCAACGCGAAGAACCUUACCAGGUCUUGACAUCCAAAGAAUCCUUCUGAAAGGAAGGAGUGCCUUCGGGAGCUUUGAGACAGGUGGUGCAUGGUUGUCGUCAGCUCGUGUCGUGAGAUGUUGGGUUAAGUCCCGCAACGAGCGCAACCCUUGCUAUUAGUUGCUAACACAUAAUGGUGAGCACUCUAAUGGGACUGCCGGUGACAAGCCGGAGGAAGGUGGGGAUGACGUCAAAUCAUCAUGCCCUUUAUGACCUGGGCUACACACGUGCUACAAUGGAUGGUACAGAGAGCAGCAAGACCGCAAGGUGGAGCGAAUCUCAAAAAGCCAUUCUCAGUUCGGAUUGGAGUCUGCAACUCGACUCCAUGAAGUCGGAAUCGCUAGUAAUCGCGAAUCAGCAUGUCGCGGUGAAUGCGUUCCCGGGCCUUGUACACACCGCCCGUCACACCACGAAAGUCGGCAACACCCGAAGCCAGGAGCUAACUAGCAAUAGAGGCAGCUUCGAAGGGGG
rnacentral:rRNA from 1 species